rfam:Postia placenta Mad-698-R POSPLscaffold_283_Cont7970, whole genome shotgun sequence.
GCCCGCCUAGCUCAAUCGGAUAGAGCGUCAGACUCUUAUAACAUACGAGUCCAUCUGAAGGCUGCGAGUUCGACCCUCGCGGUGGGCU